CUACCUUUGCAUCCGAAGCUGAAUUUCACGAUCAGAAUAUUGUUUUUUUAGAUUAUUCAUGUCGAUAAACUCAAGAGUUACAUUUUGCAUAUCUGGAUAAGCCCUCACUAAAUCUUCAAUAGCAACUCUCACCUCUUUUUGGAUACGUCUUUUAUCCGAAGCCACUCCAAUAACAAUGGUGAUCGAAAAAAUGCCAUAGUAAGUAUUUUUGUGUUUUUGUGUAAGAGAUAAAAAACGCUCGGAAUGAAAUAUUUUAUGUCGUAAAAUCCACCUCGUGGAUCUUUAGGGAAU